rnacentral:rRNA from 1 species
GGGGGACCAUCCUCCAAGGCUAAAUACUCCUGACUGACCGAUAGUGAACCAGUACCGUGAGGGAAAGGCGAAAAGAACCCCGGCGAGGGGAGUGAAAAAGAACCUGAAACCGUGUACGUACAAGCAGUGGGAGCACGCUUAGGCGUGUGACUGCGUACCUUUUGUAUAAUGGGUCAGCGACUUAUAUUCUGUAGCAAGGUUAACCGAAUAGGGGAGCCGAAGGGAAACCGAGUCUUAACUGGGCGUUAAGUUGCAGGGUAUAGACCCGAAACCCGGUGAUCUAGCCAUGGGCAGGUUGAAGGUUGGGUAACACUAACUGGAGGACCGAACCGACUAAUGUUGAAAAAUUAGCGGAUGACUUGUGGCUGGGGGUGAAAGGCCAAUCAAACCGGGAGAUAGCUGGUUCUCCCCGAAAGCUAUUUAGGUAGCGCCUCGUGAAUUCAUCUCCGGGGGUAGAGCACUGUUUCGGCAAGGGGGUCAUCCCGACUUACCAACCCGAUGCAAACUGCGAAUACCGGAGAAUGUUAUCACGGGAGACACACGGCGGGUGCUAACGUCCGUCGUGAAGAGGGAAACAACCCAGACCGCCAGCUAAGGUCCCAAAGUCAUGGUUAAGUGGGAAACGAUGUGGGAAGGCCCAGACAGCCAGGAUGUUGGCUUAGAAGCAGCCAUCAUUUAAAGAAAGCGUAAUAGCUCACUGGUCGAGUCGGCCUGCGCGGAAGAUGUAACGGGGCUAAACCAUGCACCGAAGCUGCGGCAGCGACGCUUAUGCGUUGUUGGGUAGGGGAGCGUUCUGUAAGCCUGUGAAGGUGUGCUGUGAGGCAUGCUGGAGGUAUCAGAAGUGCGAAUGCUGACAUAAGUAACGAUAAAGCGGGUGAAAAGCCCGCUCGCCGGAAGACCAAGGGUUCCUGUCCAACGUUAAUCGGGGCAGGGUGAGUCGACCCCUAAGGCGAGGCCGAAAGGCGUAGUCGAUGGGAAACAGGUUAAUAUUCCUGUACUUGGUGUUACUGCGAAGGGGGGACGGAGAAGGCUAUGUUGGCCGGGCGACGGUUGUCCCGGUUUAAGCGUGUAGGCUGGUUUUCCAGGCAAAUCCGGAAAAUCAAGGCUGAGGCGUGAUGACGAGGCACUACGGUGCUGAAGCAACAAAUGCCCUGCUUCCAGGAAAAGCCUCUAAGCAUCAGGUAACAUCAAAUCGUACCCCAAACCGACACAGGUGGUCAGGUAGAGAAUACCAAGGCGCUUGAGAGAACUCGGGUGAAGGAACUAGGCAAAAUGGUGCCGUAACUUCGGGAGAAGGCACGCUGAUAUGUAGGUGAAGUCCCUCGCGGAUGGAGCUGAAAUCAGUCGAAGAUACCAGCUGGCUGCAACUGUUUAUUAAAAACACAGCACUGUGCAAACACGAAAGUGGACGUAUACGGUGUGACGCCUGCCCGGUGCCGGAAGGUUAAUUGAUGGGGUCAGCGCAAGCGAAGCUCUUGAUCGAAGCCCCGGUAAACGGCGGCCGUAACUAUAACGGUCCUAAGGUAGCGAAAUUCCUUGUCGGGUAAGUUCCGACCUGCACGAAUGGCGUAAUGAUGGCCAGGCUGUCUCCACCCGAGACUCAGUGAAAUUGAACUCGCUGUGAAGAUGCAGUGUACCCGCGGCAAGACGGAAAGACCCCGUGAACCUUUACUAUAGCUUGACACUGAACAUUGAGCCUUGAUGUGUAGGAUAGGUGGGAGGCUUAGAAGUGUGGACGCCAGUCUGCAUGGAGCCGACCUUGAAAUACCACCCUUUAAUGUUUGAUGUUCUAACGUUGACCCGUAAUCCGGGUUGCGGACAGUGUCUGGUGGGUAGUUUGACUGGGGCGGUCUCCUCCUAAAGAGUAACGGAGGAGCACGAAGGUUGGCUAAUCCUGGUCGGACAUCAGGAGGUUAGUGCAAUGGCAUAAGCCAGCUUGACUGCGAGCGUGACGGCGCGAGCAGGUGCGAAAGCAGGUCAUAGUGAUCCGGUGGUUCUGAAUGGAAGGGCCAUCGCUCAACGGAUAAAAGGUACUCCGGGGAUAACAGGCUGAUACCGCCCAAGAGUUCAUAUCGACGGCGGUGUUUGGCACCUCGAUGUCGGCUCAUCACAUCCUGGGGCUGAAGUAGGUCCCAAGGGUAUGGCUGUUCGCCAUUUAAAGUGGUACGCGAGCUGGGUUUAGAACGUCGUGAGACAGUUCGGUCCCUAUCUGCCGUGGGCGCUGGAGAACUGAGGGGGGCUGCUCCUAGUACGAGAGGACCGGAGUGGACGCAUCACUGGUGUUCGGGUUGUCAUGCCAAUGGCACUGCCCGGUAGCUAAAUGCGGAAGAGAUAAGUGCUGAAAGCAUCUAAGCACGAAACUUGCCCCGAGAUGAGUUCUCCCUGACCCUUUAAGGGUCCUGAAGGAACGUUGAAGACGACGACGUUGAUAGGCCGGGUGUGUAAGCGCAGCGAUGCGUUGAGCUAACCGGUACUAAUGAACCGUGAGGCUUAACCUU